UACACGACCGUACCGCAAACCGACACUGGUGCGCGAGAUGAGUAUUCUCAGGCGCUUGAGAGAACUCGGGAGAAGGAACUCGGCAAAUUGACACCGUAACUUCGGAAGAAGGUGUGCCUUUAGUAGGUGAAGUCCCUCGCGGAUGGAGCCCAAUGAGGUUGCAAAAAAUCGGUGGCUGCGACUGUUUAAUAAAAACACAGCACUCUGCAAACGCGAAAGUGGACGUAUAGGGUGUGACGCCUGCCCGGUGCUGGAAGAUUAAGUGAUGGGGUGCAAGCUCUUGAUCGAAGUCCCAGUAAACGGCGGCCGUAACUAUAACGGUCCUAAGGUAGCGAAAUUCCUUGUCGGGUAAGUUCCGACCUGCACGAAUGGCGUAACGAUGGCCACACUGUCUCCUCCCGAGACUCAGCGAAGUUGAAAUGUUUGUGAUGAUGCAAUCUCCCCGCGGAAAGACGGAAAGACCCCAUGAACCUUUACUGUAGCUUUGUAUUGGACUUUGAACGGAUCUGUGUAGGAUAGGUGGGAGGCUUUGAAGCCGGGUCGCUAGAUCUGGUGGAGCCAACGUUGAAAUACCACCCUGGUGCGUUUGAGGUUCUAACCUAGGCCCGUUAUCCGGGCCGGGGACAGUGCAUGGUAGGCAGUUUGACUGGGGCGGUCUCCUCCCAAAGCGUAACGGAGGAGUUCGAAGGUACGCUAGUUACGGUCGGACAUCGUGACGAUAGUGCAAUGGCAUAAGCGUGCUUAACUGCGAGACUGACAAGUCGAGCAGAUGCGAAAGCAGGACAUAGUGAUCCGGUGGUUCUGUAUGGAAGGGCCAUCGCUCAACGGAUAAAAGGUACUCUGGGGAUAACAGGCUGAUACCGCCCAAGAGUUCAUAUCGACGGCGGUGUUUGGCACCUCGAUGUCGGCUCAUCUCAUCCUGGGGCUGUAGCCGGUCCCAAGGGUAUGGCUGUUCGCCAUUUAAAGAGGUACGUGAGCUGGGUUUAAAACGUCGUGAGACAGUUUGGUCCCUAUCUUCCGUGGGCGCUGCAGAUUUGAGGAAGCCUGCUCCUAGUACGAGAGGACCGGAGUGGACGCACCUCUGGUGUACCUGUUGUCACGCCAGUGGCAUUGCAGGGUAGCUAAGUGCGGAAGAGAUAACCGCUGAAAGCAUCUAAGCGGGAAACUCGUUUCAAGAUGAGAUCUGCCGGGGCCUUGAGCCCCCUGAAGAGUCGUUCUAGACCAGGACGUUGAUAGGUCAGGUGUGGAAGCGCAGUAAUGCGUUAAGCUAACUGAUACUAAUUGCUCGUGCGGCUUGACC
rnacentral:rRNA from 1 species